rnacentral:ribozyme from 1 species
AGGUCGCUGGAGAGGGUUCCUAAGCCACCGUGCUGCCUUGAUGCAAGUCCUCGAGCGCUUUCGGCGAUGUGCAAGCUCUUAAGCACGACCACGAU